GACGAACGCUGGCGGCGUGCUUAACACAUGCAAGUCGAACGGAAAGGCCCUGCUUUUGUGGGGUGCUCGAGUGGCGAACGGGUGAGUAACACGUGAGUAACCUGCCCUUGACUUUGGGAUAACUUCAGGAAACUGGGGCUAAUACCGGAUAGGAGCUCCUGCUGCAUGGUGGGGGUUGGAAAGUUUCGGCGGUUGGGGAUGGACUCGCGGCUUAUCAGCUUGUUGGUGGGGUAGUGGCUUACCAAGGCUUUGACGGGUAGCCGGCCUGCGAGGGUGACCGGCCACAUGAGGACUGAGAUACGGCCCAGACUCCUACGGGAGGCAGCAGUGGGGAAUAUUGCACAAUGGGCGGAAGCCUGAUGCAGCAACGCCGCGUGCGGGAUGACGGCCUUCGGGUUGUAAACCGCUUUCGCCUGUGACGAAGCGUGAGUGACGGUAAUGGGUAAAGAAGCACCGGCUAACUACGUG
rnacentral:rRNA from 1 species